GGCAAGAUGGCCGAGUGGUUAAGGCGGUAGAUUUAAGCGAAUUAAACGCAUAAACCCUACUAUCGAGAGAUUCCUGGGUUCGACCCCCAGUCUUGCCA